GACGAACGCUGGCGGCGUGCUUAACACAUGCAAGUCGAACGGAAAGGCCCUGCUUUUGUGGGGUGCUCGAGUGGCGAACGGGUGAGUAACACGUGAGUAACCUGCCCUUGACUUUGGGAUAACUUCAGGAAACUGGGGCUAAUACCGGAUAGGAGCUCCUGCUGAAUGGUGGGGGUUGGAAAGUUUCGGCGGUUGGGGAUGGACUCGCGGCUUAUCAGCUUGUUGGUGGGGUAGUGGCUUACCAAGGCUUUGACGGGUAGCCGGCCUGAGAGGGUGACCGGCCACAUUGGGACUGAGAGACGGCCCAGACUCCUACGGGAGGCAGCAGUGGGGAAUAUUGCACAGUGGGCGGAAGCCUGAUGCAGCAACGCCGCGUGCGGGAUGACGGCCUUCGGGUUGUAAACCGCUUUCGCCUGUGACGAAGCGUGAGUGACGGUAAUGGGUAAAGAAGCACCGGCUAACUACGUG
rnacentral:rRNA from 1 species